GUGAGGAAUAUUGCGCAAUGGAGGCAACUCUGACGCAGCCAUGCCGCGUGCAGGAAGAAGGCGCUACGCGUUGUAAACUGCUUUUAACCGGGAAGAAACCCCAGGACGUGUCCUGGGUUGACGGUACCGGAGGAAUAAGCACCGGCUAACUUCGUGCCAGCAGCCGCGGUAAUACGAAGGGUGCAAGCGUUAUCCGGAUUCAUUGGGUUUAAAGGGUGCGUAGGCGGAGCGUUAAGUCAGUGGUGAAAUCCUGCAGCUUAACUGUAGACUUGCCAUUGAUACUGGCGCUCUUGAGUGCGCUUGAAGUGGGCGGAAUGUGCCGUGUAGCGGUGAAAUGCUUAGAUAUGGCACAGAACACCAAUUGCGAAGGCAGCUCACUAAGGCGAUACUGACGCUGAGGCACGAAAGCGUGGGGAUCGAACAGGAUUAGAUACCCGGUAGUCC
rnacentral:rRNA from 1 species